GUAACCACAUCAAGCAAGCUGCAAAACAUCACUUAAACUGGAGCUCUGACUUAUUGUUCUCUUACUGCCCUAGAGCAAUUUUGUUUUGAAGAGCACAGAACACCCUGUUCUGAAUGUGGCUGGCACAUGAACUGGAUGUGCUGACAGCAAUUUGUACUUCGAUUAAAAUAGGAGGGGGAGAAAGGAAAGAGAGUGCAUAGCAGUAACAAAAAUGAAAUGCAAGAACCCCUAAACCAUGCAAUUUGUAUUUUAGGAAGCAAAACUGAGAAAGCCUCCAUAACUUAAAAGAAAAAAAAAGGUGCUGUAAAUGCUCCAGCCUAAAGACGUUAGCUCUGUCUUGCUAUGUUGCCUAGGCUGGAGUGCGGUGGUGCGAUCUCGGCUUACUGCAACCUCCACUUACUGCAACCUUCACCUCCUGUGUUCAAGUGAUUCCCGUGCCUCAGUCUCCCGGGUAGCUGGGCCUACAGGUAUGCACCUGCAUUAACCACGACCAGUUAAUUUUUGUGUUUUCAGUAGAGACGAGUUUUGCUAUGUUGGCCAGGCUGCCCUUUAACUCCUGACCUCAAGUGAUCCUCCUGCCGUGGCCUCCCAAAGUGUUGGGAUUACAGGCGUGAGCCACCGUGCCCAGCAUUUUUUUUUUGAGUUGAGGGU